CUAAGGCCCACUUGACUUCACAUUCCAGAAUGUCUGGCUCUAGGUGAGUGAUCACAUCAUUGUGAUUAUCUGGGUCAUACAGACAGAACUGACCCUUAUUUGGUCCAAUGAGUUUUUCCAAUUAAACAUCCAGAAUUGCCAGAUCUCUGUGCGGCCCCCAGAUACAAGGCAGAAGGCAUCUGAUGAUCCUGGAGGCAGAGAGAGGAAAUCAGGAAUUGGAAGGAGAUGCUCCUUCAAGUAAGGAUAGACACUAACAAGAAUAGGCAUCCCCGAUAGCUCAGCGGUAAAGAAUCUGCCUGACAAUGCAGGAGAUUCAGGUGGUGCAGGUUCAAUCCCUGGGUCGGGAAGAUCCCCUGCAGGAAGGCAUGGGGACCCACUCCAGUAUUCUUGCCUGGGGAAUCCCAUGGACAGAGGAGCCGGCGGGUUACAGUCCAUGGGGUCACAUAGAGUUGAUCAUGACUGAGCACGAGUACUAACAAGAAUAGGGAACACGUCUAAAUGCUUACCCCAUGCCUACCACAGAUCCAUGUUUCAUGUAUAGUCACUGUGUUAUGCCUCCUGAAGACCUAGUGAGGAGGUUAUGAUUUUCUUCCUUUUACCCAGGUGAAGCACAGAGAGGUAGCUAGUCACUAUCAAAACCUCAAAGAGGGACUUACCUGGUGGUCCAGUGGUUGAGGCACCACCUUCCAGUGCAGGGGGUGCAGGUUCCAUCCCUGGUCAAGGAACUAAGAUCCCACCUGCUGCGUGGUGCAGUCAAAACACACACACACGCACACACAGCCCUCAAAGUUAUGGCUCCAGAAACCAAGCUCCUCCCUUGUUACACUCUCCAGCAAGCAGAUCGCAUGUCAGCAGGAGCUUUCCCCUUUUCUGUGUGUCUGUCCUCUACUCCUUGUGGUUGACUGAGUUCGUGCCCCCUAAAGAUGUCCUGACCCCCAAGAAUCUGUACAUAUGUUCCCUUAUGUGACAAGAAGGACUUUGCAGGUGUAAUUAAUGUCUGAAGAUGGGGAGAGGAGCUCGGAUGAUCCAGGUGGGCCCAGUGUAAUCACAAGCGUCUUAGAAGAGGAGGGCCGGCUGUCAGAAAAUAGCAGGCAGCUGGCUUUAAAGAUGGCGGAAGGGACCGCGCGCAUCGUCUGAAGUUGGAGAGGUGAGAGACGGAGCUUUCCGCAGAGCCGCCAGGAAGAACCAGCCCUGCACGCAGCUUGAUAUUAGCCUUACUUGCUUCCGACUUCCAACCUCCAAAACUCAUAGCAUCAGCUUCUGUGCAGUGGCCAGGAAAGGAAGGGUCUCCGAGGGAACGUGAGAACAGCUUUUCACCUGCCCACAUGUUGAAUCCUCACAACUAUCUUGAGAGCUCUGUCUUCUCGUGACUCUGCCCUUCCCCAGAGGAAGGAGAAAACAUCCAAGUUCCAGGUGUGUUGUUGUUUCAUCACCAAGUCAUGUCCAGUUCUUCUGUGAUCUCAUGGACUGUAGCCCACCAGACUCC